CCCGGGGACGUUAAUCGGGAAUUAAUUGGGCGUAAGCGAGCGCAGGCGGUUGCUUAGGUCUGAUGUGAAAGCCUUCGGCUUAACCGAAGAAGUGCAUCGGAAACCGGGCGACUUGAGUGCAGAAGAGGACAGUGGAACUCCAUGUGUAGCGGUGGAAUGCGUAGAUAUAUGGAAGAACACCAGUGGCGAAGGCGGCUGUCUGGUCUGCAACUGACGCUGAGGCUCGAAAGCAUGGGUAGCGAACAGGAUUAGAUACCCUGGUAGUCCAUGCCGUAAACGAUGAGUGCUAGGUGUUGGAGGGUUUCCGCCCUUCAGUGCCGGAGCUAACGCAUUAAGCACUCCGCCUGGGGAGUACGACCGCAAGGUUGAAACUCAAAGGAAUUGACGGGGGCCCGCACAAGCGGUGGAGCAUGUGGUUUAAUUCGAAGCUACGCGAAGAACCUUACCAGGUCUUGACAUCUUGCGCUAACCUUAGAGAUAAGGCGUUCCCUUCGGGGACGCAAUGACAGGUGGUGCAUGGUCGUCGUCAGCUCGUGUCGUGAGAUGUUGGGUUAAGUCCCGCAACGAGCGCAACCCUUGUUACUAGUUGCCAGCAUUAAGUUGGGCACUCUAGUGAGACUGCCGGUGACAAACCGGAGGAAGGUGGGGACGACGUCAGAUCAUCAUGCCCCUUAUGACCUGGGCUACACACGUGCUACAAUGGACGGUACAACGAGUCGCAAACUCGCGAGAGUAAGCUAAUCUCUUAAAGCCGUUCUCAGUUCGGACUGUAGGCUGCAACUCGCCUACACGAAGUCGGAAUCGCUAGUAAUCGCGGAUCAGCAUGCCGCGGUGAAUACGUUCCCGGGCCUUGUACACACCGCCCGUCACACCAUGGGAGUUUGUAACGCCCAAAGUCGGUGGCCUAACCUUUAUGGAGGGAGCCGCCUAAGGCGGGACAGAUGACUGGGGUGAAGUCGUACAAGGGGAACGGUAAAAA
rnacentral:rRNA from 1 species